rnacentral:lncRNA from 1 species
CUCGGGGCCCAGGCUGGAGGGGGCCUGGCACAGUUGAGGCCUCGUGUGGGCCCAGAAGGAAGGGGGCCCAGGCACAGGUAGAGCCUCGGGGCCCAGGAUGGAGGAGAACCAGGCUCAGUUGGGGCUGUGUUGGGGCCCAGGAUGGAGGAGGACCAGGUGCAGUUGGGGCUGCACUGGGGGGGCCGGAGCUGGAGGGGGGCCUAGCAGAGUUGAGGCCUCCUCUGGGCCCAGACAAAAAGGGCCCAGGCGCAACCAGGUCCUUGGGGCCCGGGAUGAAGCAGGACCAGGCCCAGUUGGGGCUGCUUUGGGGCCCAGGAUGGAGGAGGACCGGGCACGGUGGGGGCUGCUUUGGGGCUCAGGAUGGAGGAGACUCAGGCACAGUUGGGGCUGCUUUGGGGCCCGGGCUGGUGGGAGGCCCGGCACAGCCAGAGCCUUGUGGCUGCACUCCCUCUGUACAGUUCAACCUUGAUCCCUAACCUAAAAUGGUAACUGUAGUGAAAGGCAGUAGCUGAUCCAGCUGCUU